UACGGGAGGCAGCAGUGAGGAAUAUUGGUCAAUGGGCGCUAGCCUGAACCAGCCAAGUAGCGUGAAGGAUGAAGGCUCUAUGGGUCGUAAACUUCUUUUAUAUAAGAAUAAAGUGCAGUAUGUAUACUGUUUUGUAUGUAUUAUAUGAAUAAGGAUCGGCUAACUCCGUGCCAGCAGCCGCGGUAAUACGGAGGAUCCGAGCGUUAUCCGGAUUUAUUGGGUUUAAAGGGAGCGUAGGUGGACUGGUAAGUCAGUUGUGAAAGUUUGCGGCUCAACCGUAAAAUUGCAGUUGAUACUGUCAGUCUUGAGUACAGUAGAGGUGGGCGGAAUUCGUGGUGUAGCGGUGAAAUGCUUAGAUAUCACGAAGAACUCCGAUUGCGAAGGCAGCUCACUGGACUGCAACUGACACUGAUGCUCGAAAGUGUGGGCAUCAAACAGGAUUAGAUACCCUGGUAGUCCACACAGUAAACGAUGAAUACUCGCUGUUUGCGAUAUACAGUAAGCGGCCAAGCGAAAGCAUUAAGUAUUCCACCUGGGGAGUACGCCGGCAACGGU
rnacentral:rRNA from 1 species